GGAAAACUUACCAGAUCAUGGUUAGGGAAUAGGGUACAUUACAGUUUACUGUUACAAGUCGGUACUGCAAGUAUUCGAUGGCGUUUAUUCUGAUGGCGAGUUCUUCCAUUCUUUUAUAGUGUUUUGAUAGCAUAUGUAUUCAGUGAUUACUCAGCUCGGAUACAGUGAACUAAAUCACGAAGCUCAAUCACUUUCAAGGGCUAUAUGAGAAAUUGAUCGAUCAGUUGUUAAAGUUACUGUAUAUAUCCCUGUCAACUGUUGGUAUCAUAGCAUCUUGAUAUUUUAUGUCGACAACCAAGUCGUUCAAUCUUGCAUUUUAUAAAAUUAUACAGUCCAGACGAGCAGGACAUUUCGACCAGGCCAUCAUCAAGAUUUAUACUUCAAUGAUAAAGCGGUUAAUAGAUUUCUAUGUCCAGCCUUGUUUUCCAUCGCUUUGUCGCUUUGAAAAAGUUAACUUAAAGAUGUGUUGGUAAGGAGAAACCAAAACGAUAACAAAACCAAAUAUUUUCGGCAACAAAUCGCUCGAACUGACCAAAUGACCAAUUUCAUACAAGUGAUACAACCUUGAGCGACCGAUAUUUUCAUAUUAAUUCACCUAUAAUUCACCACAACCUGUUCAUUUUGCAACCUGAAAGGCUUUGACAAUACUGCGUGCCUCAUUGAGAAAAUCAGACUCGGUUUAAACGGUUUUCAAAUCACUAACUCUUCAUAAGAAGUGCAAAUGUUGUGCUCCACCACCACUGUGAGUGAAUAGUAUAGCCUUAUACAAGGUGUUCCUUCCUGAAUGAGUGACUGAAUGAAUGAUGCAUUCAUCCUUCGACGAUAAUCUGAUAAAAAAUCAUUUAGAAAGAUGGGCUCGUCUUCCUUGGUAUGAAGAAGUGACUCGUGAACUGCUGAAAAAAAAAGUAAACCUUAUCAAUUCAGUAUGUAUACUGCACGUCAAGGUCUUGAAUAAAACCAUCUAUCUAAUCUAUCUGCA